UGUGCGUGAGGUAACUUGAAUUCGAAGGAAUAUAUUUUUUUUACUUGGAAAUAAUAUCCAACUCUGAUAAAAUAAACUGAAGUAUUCCCUCAAGGUGACGAUAGAGCUGACUGUGUUGAAAUAACACUCGAAUGUGCUGCUCUAAGGCAGACCGACGAGGGAAGAAAUUUAGAGAUUUUUUUUCUCUUAUUUUACAAGAAAUGUUCACUUGUUAGAGGAAUACAAUGGGAUUCCAUCCAGAGGCCAGCCUUACAACGCCUGGAUAUAUUAAUAAUCCUGGGACCGUGCUUUUGUCUGUCCGCCGCUUAGCACUUCGAGGCGCUCUGAGAUGCUUGGCGAGGCGGAGGAGGAAGACGAACGCAGACAAGAAGAUGAAGCGGGGUCAGAUUAGCUCAAGUGCUGAAAUCGAUCUGUGUUUAUCUCCAAGGCUGUGGGGGAAGAGGAAGUCAAAGGGAGCUUCAAAUGGCUGAGGGAGGGCUGAAUAGUGGAAAGUGAAGCUCGAGUUUGUGACUACUAUCACCUCCACCACCAGUGCCGUCACCGUCACAGCCGCUGCCUCCUCCUCCUCCGCCGCCGCCGACGCCUCCAUCCUCGCCUCCUUCAUCGGUUACCUCCCACAGUCUAAAAGCAACACCUGACACCCUCGCCUACACUUUUUCGAAGGUGUAACCGAAGAAAACUUGUGCUCCGGCUACUUAGUGUUAUGGUGAGUCCUGUGUGUGUGUGUGUGUGUGUGUGUGUGUGUGUGUGUGUGUGUGUGUGUGCUGUUAUCGGUCUGUGUACCUUUGUUUGUGAAUCGGUGGGUGAUUGUUCUGGGUCUCUCUCUCUCUCUCUCUCUCUCUCUCUCUCUCUCUCUCUCUCUCUCUCUCUCUCUCUCUCUCUCUCUCUCUCUCUCUCUCUCUCUCUCUCUCUCUCUCUCACCUUGUGAUCUGAGAAAUGGAAGGUGAUGGACCGGGUACUGUUGGGUUUUAUGGUGGUGGUGGAAGUGAUGGUAGUAGUAGUAGUAGUAGUAGUAGUAGUAGUAGUAGUAGUAGUAGUAGUAGUAGAAGUAAUAGUAAUAGUAGUAGUGA